rnacentral:lncRNA from 1 species
AAAGACCAGAGUUUCCUAGUGCUAAGUUCUCAGGUUGAGGACUGAGUGCCACUGGAAAUUUCCCGGACGAAAAGCUGCUUGGAGCCUCCAGGGACCGGCAUCCGAGGCGGGGCUAAAGGCCAGUGGCGCAAGCAGAAGGAGGAGCGCACCGGUUGCAAGCACGUGACCGGGGCCUGAAGCCGGAAGCUACCUAUCUGGUAGGGAGCUCCCCCAGCACCGAAGACUGCGAUGGUGAGUGAGGACGCAUGCGCGAGAGGACCCGCCGGGGGUUCAGCGUCUCUGCUCCCCAGUCUGUGUGGUUUCCCCCUCGUGGGCCUGCGCUCCACCCUCACCUCCUAUCCGCUCGGGGAGGAAGAGGGGAUGGAGAUGGGAGGGAUGGCGACGAGAAUGCUGGGGAGGGGUCUGUGGGAGGGUGUUCUGGGGUUGCGGGUAGUCUGCAGGUCGGGCGGAGACGAGGGGAGGUGAAGAGAGGGUCUGGGGGCAGGGGCCAGUGGGGCAGCAAAGGCCCCUUGGGGUAGCAAAGGUGGGAUGUGGAAGGCCAGGGGAACCCGGGGGCGAGAGUGGGGG